GCGAGUCAGGCAUGCACCCAGCACACGAUGGCUGCAGCAGCUGGAGCGCAAGCUCUCUAGGUCAUUAUGGUUCUCCUCACUACGGAAGAAGAGAGGAGGAUGAGGAGGAGGAGGAGAAGAGGAGGAGCAGCACCAGUUAACAAACUGACCUGACAGCUUGUUCCAUCUGGGCUGUCUACACUCCAGUUCGUGGCCCAGUGAACGACAAACACCUAAUGCCUUGCUAAAGCUGGUAAAAAGGAACCAAAUCACCUCUUGAAUGGAUUUGGUCCCCUUCAACCAGCUGUAGCUAUGCUUUGAUGACUACAUACCAUCCCUACCGGAGCGCCUCUCUCUUCAAAUGCUCUGACUGACUGGAUGACGGUGUCAAUGAUCGUGUGUAGCGUCAUGCCUCGACUCACCCACGUCGGCUCUCAUCUUCACUAAGCGAUUAUUGAUCAAGUGUCAUGUUUCACUGUUGAAUCUGUCUGCCUUUCUUCUAUCUUGACUAAUAAAAAGAAGCCAACAGAGAUUCAACAAA